CUAGCAUAUCAAUAAGCGGAGGAAAAGAAACCAACAGGGAUUGCCUCAGUAACGGCGAGUGAAGCGGCAACAGCUCAAAUUUGAAAUCUGGCUCUUUCAGGGUCCGAGUUGUAAUUUGUAGAAGAUGCUUCGGGUGUGGCUCCGGUCUAAGUUCCUUGGAACAGGACGUCAUAGAGGGUGAGAAUCCCGUAUGUGACUGGGUGCCUUCGCUCAUGUGAAGCUCUUUCGACGAGUCGAGUUGUUUGGGAAUGCAGCUCAAAAUGGGUGGUAAAUUUCAUCUAAAGCUAAAUAUUGGCCAGAGACCGAUAGCGCACAAGUAGAGUGAUCGAAAGAUGAAAAGCACUUUGGAAAGAGAGUUAAACAGUACGUGAAAUUGUUGAAAGGGAAGCGCUUGCAACCAGACUUGCACGCGGUUGAUCAUCCGGUGUUCUCACCGGUGCACUCUGCCGCGUUCAGGCCAGCAUCGGUUUUGGUGGUUGGAUAAAGGCCUAGGGAAUGUAGCUUCUUUCGGGGAGUGUUAUAGCCCUAGGUGCAAUGCAGCCUACUAGGACCGAGGACCGCGCUUCGGCUAGGAUGCUGGCGUAAUGGUUGUAAGCGACCCGUCUUGAAACACGGACCAAGGAGUCUAACAUCUAUGCGAGUGUUUGGGUGUCAAACCCAUACGCGUAAUGAAAGUGAACGGAGGUGAGAACCCUUAAGGGUGCAUCAUCGACCGAUCCUGAUGUCUUCGGAUGGAUUUGAGUAAGAGCAUAGCUGUUGGGACCCGAAAGAUGGUGAACUAUGCGUGAAUAGGGUGAAGCCAGAGGAAACUCUGGUGGAGGCUCGCAGCGGUUCUGACGUGCAAAUCGAUCGUCAAAUUUGCGCAUAGGGGCGAAAGACUAAUCGAA
rnacentral:rRNA from 1 species